rfam:Streptomyces sp. Root431 contig_9, whole genome shotgun sequence.
GGAUGCAGAUCGGCAUGGGGUCCCAGGGCCCCGGGGAGGAAGCCCGGUGAGAAUCCGGCGCGGUCCCGCCACUGUGAGCCCGUACCGGCGAUGGUCACGGGUGAGUCAGGAACUCCCGCCGUCCACACGACCACC